rnacentral:lncRNA from 1 species
GCUGAGGGCGGCAGCAGCAAGCCGGAGGCCGAAGGUGCCGGAGGCCGGUGAUGCCGUAGUGGCCCUUGUCGUCGCGGGCUUGCAGAGGUGGUCUUGGACGGCCGGGGCGAGGACAGCCGCGGCGAGCUGAGUGGGCAGUGAGGUCGGAGCAGCCGUUGGUGGUGUCGGAGUGGCCGUCGUCUUCGUGGGCUGGGCGGGGCNGUAGAUGGGGCGCCGGACGGCGAGGUCGGAGCGGCCACCGGCCGGAAGGCACUUGACUGCAUAGCCACGGAGGUGGAGGAGCUCGAAGGACAUUUAUACGAUUACGUAUAAAGCAAGGGGCCUUUCUACAAAAAAGUAUACCACGUGGGCACCUGAUAGACGGGCCCCGUCGGUUAGAUACACCGUCAAUACAUAUUUAUACGCGUUUUAGCUUGAUUUGCAACGGCCUCGCCCAAAGUUGAUACUGACAUGAAAAAAUUAGCAAUCUGGGUACCAAACUGCAUAUUCUGCCCCAAUUAUGAUACUUCUGUGUAAUUAACUCCUCCGUCAGUCAUGAUGGUUAACUUCCUUUGCAAUAUAGAAGUAUAGAGUGUAUUUUCUUACUCAAAUAAAUGUCUUCCAGGAUUCUGAUUUAUCAGGCUCAAAAAAUUCUCACUUAUGUUCGAUGAUACUACUAAUCACCUAAUCUUUGCAGCAAGGAUUCUAAUAUUCAGUUUUGGAU